CUCCGCAUCGCUCCGCUCGAUCCAACUCCUCCCUCUUCCUCGGUCUCGCCUCAACCUACGCAGACGCAUGUCCUCUUCCCGAUAACCCUAGCCGCCGCGCUGAUCCUCCCCUAACUGCCGCCGCUAAUCUUCUCUCCCCUAACCGCAGGUGCACGCCAUUCUUUUCCCCUUCCUCCUGCUAACGACGUCCCUCCACUCUGCAACGCAGAUCAAUCGAUGUGGGCGGGGCACGUGGCGAUCCCCAGUCGGGCUACAUAGGGCCGACGACGAUCUGGACAGGGGCGGUUUGAGGCGCUCGCGCACGGAGUGGAUCCAGCAGCGGCCAUGUCCUGCAUCAAAGAUGCGGCUAGGAAUCGGAGGAGAGAUGGGAGAGAGGAGGAAGGGACCGGGGAUGGGCUCAGUGAUGCGGCGACGCUUGCGGAGGCUAGCUGGCGGCUGAGUCACACGGCAACGGCAGCGCGCGUGUGGCAUCCUCCCUGGUGGGGCGAGCAGGAAGGAGUAGGUGCACGGGAGGCGUAGGCGCUGUGGCCUAUCUGCAGAGGUGGACGACGGUAAUAGGGGAACUGGAACAAGCGCCAGAAGCGGCCAUGAACAUAGAUGCACAGUUCUGCAAGGAAGAAACCAGGGUGUACAGAGGAAGGGAGAUCUCACCCCAGGUCUCCGAGCUAUUAACUGGGAAGAUGAACCCCAGGCAGCCGGGCUGGACUGGUUUAAAAGUAACCCGUAAAACUUACUGAUUUUAAUUCACUUGGUACACGUCAUCAGUGAUUCAGUACGUGAUGCCGGUAUUGAGUGUACUAGCAGUCUACAGAUAGAUUUGCGUCCGUAUGCUGAGCUUGUUCUGAGGAUAAUAUUUUUUUGAUUGAAUCCAAUAUAAGGUAACUAAUAGAAAUACAAUAGUACUACUAAUGACAGUCUCACUGUUGGGAAGUUUUUUGAUGGAUAUUUAGUCGAGACAGCUAUUUCUACCAUGGAAUAAUUGCAAUUUAGCUAUGUGACGCCGAUGAAUUAUAUAAAGUUUAGAAAUGCAUGUAUGUCGAUUUAAUUUAACGGACAUGGUCUUUUAUGUUGAUUUCAGCUGAGCAGUAGGAAACAUUGGUGCAGAGUAAGGAUUGCAUCAGCGGCACCAUGCCCUUAUCGGGCGAAAACUCUUGAUAAAGAGAUAAGGGGAUUCGCUGACUAUCCAAUACAUAAUGUGAUUGUACUGGUGCUGGGGACAAGUUUUGACUCUUUAUGAUAGAGACGUGUGGUUUUUACAACCUAUUCUCUUGGGAGAAAGGUUUUGGGAUCAGAUAUUGGAAAAGCAGGUCAAUGUUGAGAGGACAAAAUUUAAUUACGAAAUAGUGUGUCGAUAUGUAGUGAGUUUUAUUUCAUUGCGACAUAUUUCAGUGUUUGGACAGUGUGUGUGUGUGUGUGUGUGUGAGUUGAGUUCUGAGAAGCAUUUUUUCCCAUGUUGACAACAUGCAGGGUGAAGCAGGUGUGUAGAACACACGAUCUUGCCGAUGUGAGUACCCUGCUCUAAUAAAUUGCUUAGAUCAGAGCACAGGGGUUAAGAAGUACAUGAGACUGCAGUUUGAUAUGCACACGACAUUUGACAUUUGACAUUUGACACGCUUGGGAGAGGGGAGGUGUUGGGAGGAGGAGACGUCAUGGAGCCCAAGAGCGGAUGCAACAGAAGAAGCAGCACCGUUGCCGUGCACUAAGCAGGUUGACAGAGUCUGCGAGGUGGAAGAUCCAUAGCAUACAGGUGAGUCUGUAGGUGCUAUUUUAUCUUUGUGCAUCUGUUCUAUUAUUAUUGAUCUUUUUCGCAUUAGAGUAGAAUGAAUAUUUGUAUUACCAUCUUAUAGUGCUAAAUCAUGUGCAACAGUUGGGGUAAGCUUCUCAACUGCCUAGCACCAAUUAGGCUUCUAAAACAGAAGCAUACACAAAAUUUAAUUAAGCAUCCAAGUUUCUUUUUAAGUGGUACACUAUAUAUUGCUAACCGAGGGAACUUCUAUUUGUGUUGCUUGUUUUUUCUAACAAUCACUUGAGUGUGUUGUUUGCAGUUUUCAACCAUCCAUCGCUGAACCUACAGGAGCCUGAUGCCAUGUGUUUUUUUACCAAUCAAACUACUUGGAGAACCAAAGAAAUUUGUUUUUUCUAUCUCCACUAGGAGUCGGAAAUGAGAACGCCAUCUCUGCAUAACUGAACGAAGUGACUGAAAAUUUAUGUUAUAUAUGGUACAACCUUACGAGAGAAUUAUUUCUGUACAUGUAGAACACAGUUACAUGUAUGCCUUCAAAGUUAUUUGUUAUUUAUAUAUGUAUAAAUGAGCUUGGCUUUCAACCCUGCAAGGUUUACAAUUUCUCAGUUUUAUCAAGUCAUCCACAGUUUUAAUUAUCAUAUGUAUAAUUGUGCCUGAUACUCCAAAUGCCCAUUCGGCCAGGUUGAUUUACAAGGGUUGUGUGGAGCGAACUCUGUUCCUCUAAACCAAGGGGUACUUUUGGCCCUUUUCCUGGCAUCCGACAUAGUCGAUGAGAUAUCCCUGAAGCUUCAAUGGAUACAGAGUUUGAACCAUUUAGCAUUUGGGACCACGAGGAUUCCGAUUGGGAGAAUGACGCCGUCCAUAGAUUCAUGGCGAGACGUUGGUGGACAGGAGGGUUGACCAUUGGGCGAUGCGCUGCACGAGUAGGUCAGGAGGAACAAGAGUAGAAGAGGACUGUAGCCUGUAGGUGAGAGAAGAUGAUGCCAUUGCCAUCUUGACUGAAGGUUGGGCAUCUAAAGAUGCUUGUCAACCAGAACUCUGAAGCUAAACACCACUUGAAGGUACCUGGAAAUACAUUACUUGCUGAAGCUGCACAUCCUAUGCCCCAGGAGGAGGCCGAAUGCAUAUUCCGAUCAUGUGAUCUAAAUACUAAAGCUUCCUUGCUGGAUCUAAGCAUACUUCUGUCGCAGCCGGAGCUGAACAUUUGGAGAGACCAUACUGUAGCAAGCUUGCUUUCCAGGGACCUGGUGUUUCUGCAAACCCAACGAUAGUAUGCAAGCUUCUAAGCGCCGGAUUGAUGUCGUACUAACAAAUUAAGGUAGGUUCCGGAAGAUGUCAUGAAGAAUUUCUUUGAGAGAAUUUGCGUGAGGUGCUGCCAGUGUGGAAGAGGAGAUUCGAGCCUCAUAAGUGAAUACGGAAAUCCAUCUGAACUGGUAUCCAUCCCUGUGCCUGCCUCUCUCCAAAACUCCUUCCCGCACUUGAUUGAGCAAAAGAUGCAGCUUGACUAAUUGAGCGGCGUGGAAGGUGACCUUGGCUGCAGGCAGCAGCUCCUUUGGCUGAUCUGCGGCGAUGCAGAAGUUGGCUUGGAAAGAAGCACGACCGGCUGCUCUGAAGUGGGUCGUAGGGAGGGCUUCGUAAGAGUUAGGGAGGGAGCUCUAUUAGCCAGUGCAUGACAUCCAACCCAAUGGCAUCAUGCCCUGGUAGGCAUGGUUGCGUGGCCACGGGGAGAAUGAAGCAAGUAGCGUGUGAGGAGUUUAAGAAAUGGGGACAGGGGACAGUUAAUUAAGGCUCUAUGUUAGUUUCAAGUUUUAUCCUUGUUGAGUACAUGAAGGUGGAACAUGAGGAAGGGUGGGAGAAGAUUAGAUAUCGUUUCAUUUUCUUGCAAGGAGAGGAUGGUUACGAAGAAAUGGCAAGAAAUGGAGAGAGAAUCAGGUUUAUUACUGUAUGGAUGGAAACCACAUGCCAGCUUGUCCAACAUAUUUCUACAUUGAGUCAAUUAUUCGACCGCUAUGUUUUUUUUAUUCCAUGGCAAUGCAUGGUCAUUCAACUAUUCAAAUUUACAGAUCAAAGAUCAAAACUGAUGGCUUUUUAUUGACAAAGCUUUAUGGUGAACCAAACUGAAAAAUCAUUGGGGUUUACACAAUCAGAAGAGAUGCAUACAAAUAAUUGUUCUUUAUAUAUUUGUUGUGCAUGAUAAUACAAAAGAACAAGGAAUUCUUAUGUAUUGGAACACAUACGGUUGGAGGACUUCAGGGGGAGAGAGCGACAAUAUUACAUGAAUACAGAUGUGCCAAUUGCAAAGACUUUACGGUGGUGAUACAGAGGCAUUCCUCUGUUCAUUAACUCAGAUUCAGACUCUAAUAUAUGCAGGCAGUAUGAUCAAUAACUGUCAAAGAGUAAUAUGACGUUCUCAAAUUGCCAAGAUAUGCAGGAGACAUUGUAACAAAAGCUGCAAUCUCUAUGUAGCUAUUUACUUCAAUUGAUGAAUUCACUUCAUGACAGGACAUGGUGUGUCGUGGAAGAUUGUUGUUUAAUUUAUUUACCUUGCUUUGUGGAUUGAUGUAAUGUGAACAGUUAAUUCAAAAAACUUUAUCACAAAUAGAAAUAAGAUUGCUUUUCUUUAGCUUAA